rnacentral:rRNA from 1 species
UACGUAGGGUGCGAGCGUUGUCCGGAAUUAUUGGGCGUAAAGAGCUCGUAGGCGGUGUGUCACGUCGGCUGUGAAAACUCGGGGCUCAACCCCGAGCCUGCAGUCGAUACGGGCAGACUAGAGUGCUGUAGGGGAGACUGGAAUUCCUGGUGUAGCGGUGAAAUGCGCAGAUAUCAGGAAGAACACCCGUGGCGAAGGCGGCUCUCUGGGACGGUACUGACGCUGAGACGCGAAAGCGUGGGGAGCGAACAGG